CAGAAGCCUCGGAAAAAAUCCUUUUACUUUUUGUUACAAAAAGUAAGAUAUAGCCAAUAGCGGGAAAUAGC
rnacentral:misc_RNA from 1 species